rnacentral:rRNA from 1 species
CGCUGCGGCGUGCCUACACAUGCAAGUCGAGCGAUCUCUUCGGAGAGAGCGGCGGACGGGUGAGUAACGCGUGGGUAACCUGCCCUGUACACACGGAUAACAUACCGAAAGGUAUACUAAUACGGGAUAACAUACGAAAGUCGCAUGGCUUUUGUAUCAAAGCUCCGGCGGUACAGGAUGGACCCGCGUCUGAUUAGCUAGUUGGUAAGGUAAUGGCUUACCAAGGCAACGAUCAGUAGCCGACCUGAGAGGGUGAUCGGCCACACUGGAACUGAGACACGGUCCAGACUCCUACGGGAGGCAGCAGUGGGGAAUAUUGCACAAUGGGCGAAAGCCUGAUGCAGCAACGCCGCGUGAGCGAUGAAGGCCUUCGGGUCGUAAAGCUCUGUCCUCAAGGAAGAUAAUGACGGUACUUGAGGAGGAAGCCCCGGCUAACUACGUGCCAGCAGCCGCGGUAAUACGUAGGGGGCUAGCGUUAUCCGGAAUUACUGGGCGUAAAGGGUGCGUAGGUGGUUUUUUAAGUCAGAAGUGAAAGGCUACGGCUCAACCGUAGUAAGCUUUUGAAACUAGAGAACUUGAGUGCAGGAGAGGAGAGUAGAAUUCCUAGUGUAGCGGUGAAAUGCGUAGAUAUUAGGAGGAAUACCAGUAGCGAAGGCGGCUCUCUGGACUGUAACUGACACUGAGGCACGAAAGCGUGGGGAGCAAACAGGAUUAGAUACCCUGGUAGUCCACGCCGUAAACGAUGAGUACUAGGUGGUCGGGGGGUUACCCCCCUCGGUGCCGCAGCUAACG